CUGUCCUUUUCUAUUUUCUCCUGACAGACACUGUUUGAUUCCGAACAAAACCUCGCAAAGUUCACUGGUGGGCCUCAGCUCUUCAGAUCCCCACUGUGAGCCGUCCGUCCGUAGGUCGCUCUCUGGCACACUGGCAGGGAAGACCACCCGGAGGGCUGCGGACAGACACCGAAAACUGCACCCUCCAGAACUGAUCAGAGCCAGUUUCGGCUGCUCGGUUCCCUGAUUCCGGUAGCCCCUCCUUUGCUGAGACCCCUCUACUCCGCUGGGCCUCUUCCGGCCGGAGAUGUGGCUCUGCUUCCAGUUCCAACCUCACCUGGGAGCCUCCAGAGUUUUCCCUGGGGCGAGAAGCUGGGCUUAUUGAACAGGCUAGCAACUUCUCUUCUUAAAGGUUUUCCAGCUGCGCUUACUAAGAAUAAAGUAUGAAGGGCUCAGCUAUAAUCUCCCUUCAGUACAACCGUCCCUCUUGGAAAAGCAACUCUAGAAUUCACUCUAGAAUCAGAGAAGAAUAAACAUGUAAAUGAGGAAAACCGAAAAAUGCGUCCUGCAAGGCUACUGACCUACACCUGUUUCCACAUUCCUGGGGUAGAUUCUUAGAGGUUCCAAUUAAGAAUUAAGCAUUGUGUGGAUAAAUGUCAGAUUUGUCUCUUUCACAAUAUGAUUUCAGGCAAGAAUGGAUGUACUUUCCAUGGGACUGAACCUGUCUGGUUCCCAGUAGGCAAUGUAAUCCU
rnacentral:lncRNA from 1 species